rnacentral:misc_RNA from 1 species
UUGAUUAACAAUAGAUCCACUCAUAAUAGAGAUUCUCUAAUUGUUUUCAACAGUACACAUUAGCAUUGAAAUCAAUAUUCCCCCGUAUAAUGAAAGUCGGCUACGAUUCAUUACCUCGCAGACUCUGACCUCUGCGUGGGUAGAGACGCCCUCCGUGGACGAGGCGUCCCUACGACGACAUUGUCGACGGUAGGGUAAUUGUCCGUUGGUGCAACCGGUGUGGCACCGCCAGUUAUGGUCGGUGAUGGACCAUACACCAUGGGUACACUGACCGCUGCACCAUAUGGCGAGUCCUGUCGAUGAUUCGAUGGGGGAGGAACAGCGGUGGUCGGAGUUGGGGCCGUUUCUGUCGCGAAAUAACCUUGGUGAUUAUGAUGAUGUUGUUGUUGCGGAGGAACUCGAACACUUCUCGCAUGCAGAAUUCUGUUAUAUGUUGCCCACGUUCGCUCGAAAUUUAUCGUUCCUCCGUCCCCAUGGGCGACAUGGUUCUCACUGUUAUAGUCGUGGCGUUCUUCAAAAUUAUCGUCGAACUGUUUGAAUCGAUGUUAUCGACGAAUCUUUCCCGCAUCGGCUCGUCGUACACCGUUCUUUGCGAAUAGCAGCUCCCGAAGCUCUCGUUCUCCAAAAAAAAAAAAAAAUAUCCAAGCGGAACGAUUCUUUGUGCCGCGUUUCGCGAGGAGCACAGCUCAACGUGGAAGCUGUCAGAACGUUACACGAGGACACACCGUAGUCCCGUACCCGCGGAACCACGCGCGUUCGAAACGCGCUAGUAGCCUCCCUCUUUCUGGUUGGUCACGCGAAACUCAAACACAAACGUCCUUGGCUGCACCACCUUUUCUUCCUCGCUAGCGUAUGUAAUCCCCAGUUUUCUCGCACUUGACACGCUCUGUCUCACGAUUCACGAUCCGUUUAGCACACGAAACUGAUACACAAUUCGUUGACAAAACGGAUCAAAAGAAGCCGUGACAAGAUCGAUGGCCGCGAAUCGACAACGAUUCGCGUUAUACGUGAAAAUUUGAAAGAGAAAGAAAGGAGAAACCGUAGAGAAUAAAUAGAGAGAAGAGAAAGACAGAGAGUGAAAAACAGCGCGGACAAGUUUUACAAGAAAACGAUACGCUCUCGCACGGGUGGCCGGCCGCCGCGUAACUGAGUCCGGAUCGCGCGC